AUGCUCACUUUGGCAACACAUAUACUGAAAUUGGAAUAAUACAGGGAAGAUUAGCGUGGCCCCUCUCCAAGGAUGACAAGCAAAUUCAUGAGGCAUUUCAUGUUUUU
ensembl:snRNA U6 U6 spliceosomal RNA